AAUAUAUAAUUUCUCUUUGGAUCGAGGAUUUCCAUGGCGAUUACUCCCUGAGCAAAGGAGUACUUGCCUCCUAGCAUGUCGAAGCCUCAGCGCCUCUGAUGCUUCCACACUAAUCUCGCGUGCCGGGAGCAAAGGAGAUGCCUUCCCCUCCCGAUCUACGUCCUCGCCCAUGUUGUUGUUGUGCCCGCUCCCCCUUCCCGUCGUCUCGGUGCAUCGAGAUUCAACCUUGGACGUCCUCUUCCUUCGCCGUUGGAAACUUUGUGCAGGGCGGAAGGGGAUCAAGGGAAUGGUAAGGUCGCCGAGCCCUUGGCCCUUGAAUCCGUUGCUGGAAGGUCUUUCAAUAACUGCCAGGUGUAGAAGAUACGAUGGUGGUGGUAAUGUAGAAGCGCACCCACUCUCUUCCUCCUAGGGCUUCACCUGCUUUACAACCAAGUUUUUCUCAUCAGAGUGCCGCAAAAGUAGAGUUGUCACACAAGACUAAUCAAUGGCAGAAAGGAAAACUACUUGGAAGCGGAACAUUUGACAAUGUUUAUGAAGCUACUAACAGACACACUGGUGCUUUAUGUGCAAUGAAAGAAGUUAAUAUAAUUCCUGAUGAUCCCAAAUUAGCUGAAUGCUUGAAGCAGUUAGAGCAGGAGAUAAAGUUUCUUAGUCAAUUUAAGCACUCUAAUAUUGUUCAAUACUAUGGGAUGGAAACAGUGAGCUUUGUUUGUGGUUAUCCUGAAUCUUUCAUCUUUGCCCUAUCACAUCUUUAUUUAGGAUUUCAGUUUUGAAUAUGCAGAUUGAGGAUCACCUGUACAUUUGUUUAGAGCAUGUCCACCCUGGAUCAAUUAAUAAAUAUGUUCGCCAGUAUUGUAGAGCUAUGACAGAAUCAGUGGUGCACAAUUUUACCCAUAAUAUAUUGGGCUGAUUUACUUGCAUAGUAAAAACAUCAUGCACAGCUCAGUGUUUGAAUUAGCAUGUAACAUAGAAUGAGGCCAGGGAAAAGGAUAUACAAAGUUGUGCGGUUCAGUUUUACUUUAUUUGUUGUUUGAUUGGGUUUAUGUGGUAAAUGGAAAUAAUAAAUAACAUAUUACUAUAGGAGUUUUGUUGAUUCUUUAAAAAUAUGAACUCAAAGUUUCCCCUGUUUCAAUUAUGUUUCAUAUACUGUUAUUUACUUGAGUUAUGCUUGUGUUGUAGAGUGGUAGAUCGUUGUAUCUCAGAGAAGGAAAAUGUUUGUUUAACAAACUCUAUAUCUGAAUGUAUAAAUUUGGAUGUUUCUCAUAGUGAUUUAAUAAAUGCAAUUGUGCUUCAAUCCUAAUCUCAUGGGCAAUUUGAGUAGAAUUUUCAUUUCCAUUUCCAUAAUUUUAGUAAUCAUGUUCUUCUCUAUUUCGUUUCUUG